AAAGUCGUAACAAGGUUUCCGUAGGUGAACCUGCGGAAGGAUCAUUAAAAAAAUAUAUAUUCGAGAAUUAAUUUUCUCGGAUUAUUUGUAUUCAAAUCCCACUCUUGAUAAAUAUAUUAAUUAUAUAAAAAAAUAAAAAAAGAAAACUUUCAACAACGGAUCUCUUGGCUCUC
rnacentral:misc_RNA from 1 species